rnacentral:rRNA from 1 species
UGGGGAAUCUUGGACAAUGGGCGCAAGCCUGAUCCAGCCAUGCCGCGUGGGUGAAGAAGGCCCUAGGGUUGUAAAGCCCUUUCACCGGUGAAGAUAAUGACGGUAGCCGGAGAAGAAGCCCCGGCUAACUCCGUGCCAGCAGCCGCGGUAAUACGGAGGGGGCUAGCGUUGUUCGGAAUUACUGGGCGUAAAGCGCGCGUAGGCGGGCUGUUAAGUCGGGGGUGAAAUCCCGGGGCUCAACCCCGGAACUGCCUCCGAUACUGGCAGCCUAGAGGACGGAAGAGGUCAGUGGAAUGGCGAGUGUAGAGGUGAAAUUCGUAGAUAUUCGCCGGAACACCAGUGGCGAAGGCGACUGACUGGUCCGUUUCUGACGCUGAGGUGCGAAAGCGUGGGGAGCAAACAGGAUUAGAUACCCCCGUAGUCC